UGAGUGGUGUUUGGUUUGUUACGGGUGGUUGGCUCUUUGCUUGCGCAACAACUUCCACCUGUCAUUCCUCUUCAGUCUUGUGUCAAUGCUUCUAUUGCAUUGAACGCACGGUGGGUUUCUUGUGUUGCAUACCUAAUUAAUGGUAUCGCUUGAUGAAUCGGUAUUCCUUUCGUCUUGUGUCGCCUAAGCGAUGCGUGAUGAACCUUGAAGCAGCCUUUGUGAUCCACUCUUUUGAUGCAUACGCAUUGAUUUUGUGGCCCAUUGAGUGUUGCUUGGUCUCAUGGAUAUGGAAACUGGUGUGGGCAUGGAAUCUUAAUGGUUCCUUGUUUGCCCAACUUUAGCUUUUCUAAAACGAUUGUCUAUCAUGUGUUAACAUGGUAGACUCCUUCGGAUAUGAAUGCUACCUG
rnacentral:misc_RNA from 2 species